AUUGAACGCUGGCGGCAUGCUUUACACAUGCAAGUCGAACGGACUUAGGGGCUUGCUCCUAGGUUAGUGGCGAACGGGUGAGUAAUGUAUCGGAACGUACCGUGUAGUGGGGGAUAACGCAGCGAAAGUUGUGCUAAUACCGCAUACGAUCUACGGAUGAAAGCAGGGGAUCGCAAGACCUUGUGCUAUACGAGCGGCCGAUGUCGGAUUAGCUAGUUGGUGAGGUAAAGGCUCACCAAGGCGACGAUCCGUAGCGGGUCUGAGAGGAUGAUCCGCCACACUGGGACUGAGACACGGCCCAGACUCCUACGGGAGGCAGCAGUGGGGAAUUUUGGACAAUGGGCGCAAGCCUGAUCCAGCCAUGCCGCGUGAGUGAAGAAGG
rnacentral:rRNA from 1 species